GGUUGCAUGACUUCUGCUAGGUGUUUUGAUACUUUUCGGUCUCUACUUGAAUGUUGCGUACCUAAUUUUUUAGUGGCCAACAAUCUUGCACUGAUUCUUGCUAGGGGUCAUCAAGGAAACUCAAUAGAUGGCUAUUUCAGUGGAGAUUAUACCAGAGAUGUUGUUUUGAAAGUAUAUGCCAGGAGAGAAAGAUAUACUUGAAACCCGAUGAGGUCAAUGAUGUGGAGAUUUUACCAGAGAUGUUGUUUUCAACCCACUCCUAGGUCUCUUCCGUUCAUAUUCUAAUCACGUAUGGUGAGCGGCUGUUUCGACGGCGACUUGCUGGCUGCUGUUGGCUUGUACGUGUGGAAGGCAGUUGUUCACGGCAGACCAGUGAGCGGCGGUGGGUGGGCGUGACCACAUGGUGGUUGGAUAGUAGGCUUCGCGGCGUUCAGCCUCGGCCACCAUCAUACCACGAUCUCGGCCCACCCGGAAAGUCGGAUGAAGAGGUGGUGGAUGACUGAUCCCGGAGAGGAGAACAAACCUCUGAGCACAUGCUCGUCAACUCCAUGCCGGCCGCUCCAAGCGCCCCUGCUUCGUGUCUUCGAGGCAGGCGCCGAGAUAGCCUUUUGCAGCGAGUUGUGGUGUGUGGACUCUGCGGCGAGAUAGGAUUCAGAAUCCUUUUUCGUGAUAGCACAUCCAAGGAAGGAAGGAGAUUGAGGUCGGCACCUCCUGAAGGCAUGCAUGCUCUCCACCGAGAUAGGGAAGGGCAUCUUUUUCUUGGGUUGCAGUUUCCACCUUGUUGUUGGGUGAGCUGAUUCGUUGUUUGUCAGAGCUCUUGUGGAUAACCAGACAUGGGGUGCAUGGCAAAAUUAGGACAGACUGAAGGCAGCAAAUUCCGCGUUGGCCGUGCACUUUGAGGAGAAGACAUUGUCUUUAUAUAAGUGCCCCUAGAAUCAUCUCUUUACAGCAGAGAUAAGGCCUUCAGAUAGAUAUGGCCGCAUAAAUCGCACCGAUGGAUCCAGUCCUUCGCUAGGUCCAACCUACCCCGCACCAGCCUCAAGCACACGAGACACUGAUACCUUGUGUUCUAACUGGUUACCACAAUCAAAUCCAUUUUUUCCCAGUUAAAUUAGUUAGCUCAUUUUGUUGAUAACUG